rnacentral:rRNA from 1 species
CGUAAACGAUGGGUGCUAGGUAUCCGGGGAAUAGACCCCCUGGGUAUCGAAGCUAACGCGUUAAGCACCCCGCCUGGGGACUACGAGCGCAAGCUUAAAACUCAAAGGAAUUGACGGGGGGCCGCACAAGCGGUGGAGCGUGUGGUUUAAUUCGACGCUAAGCGAAGAACCUUACCAGGGCUUGACAUCCCGGUCGUAUCCCGCGGAAACGCGGGAGUCAGUUUGCUGGACCGGUGACAGGUGCUGCAUGGUCGUCGUCAGCUCGUGUCGUGAGAUGUUGGGUUAAGUCCCGCAACGAGCGCAACCCUCGUCGUAUGUUGUACUUUUCAUACGAGACUGCCUCGGUUAACGAGGAGGAAGGCGGGGAUGACGUCAGAUCAGCAUGGCCCUUAUGCCCUGGGCGACACACGCCGCUACAAUGGCCGGCACAAUGGGACGCCGAACCGCAAGGUUGGAGCAAAUCCCAUCAAAGCCGGUCCCAGUUCGGAUUGGANGCUUGCAACUCCCCUCCAUGAAUUCCGAAUCCCUAGUAAUCGCCAGUUCACCAUACUUGCGGUUGAAUACUUCCUCNGCCUUGUACACACCGCCCCUCNAUUCNAGAAAUUCCGGAAUGCCCUGAACCCUGCCUG